rnacentral:rRNA from 1 species
UGAUGAUCAGCCACACUGGAACUGAGACACGGUCCAGACUCCUACGGGAGGCAGCAGUGGGGAAUAUUGCACAAUGGAGGAAACUCUGAUGCAGCAACGCCGCGUGGAGGAUGACGCAUUUCGGUGUGUAAACUCCCUUUAUAUGGGAAGAUAAUGACGGUACCAUAUGAAUAAGCACCGGCUAACUCCGUGCCAGCAGCCGCGGUAAUACGGAGGGUGCAAGCGUUACUCGGAAUCACUGGGCGUAAAGCGCGCGCAGGCGGCCUUUUAAGUUGGAUGUGAAAGCCUACGGCUCAACCGUAGAACUGCAUCCAAAACUAUUGGGCUAGAGUGUGGGAGAGGAAGAUGGAAUUAGUUGUGUAGGGGUAAAAUCCGUAGAGAUAACUAGGAAUACCAAAAGCGAAGGCAAUCUUCUGGAACAUUACUGACGCUGAGGCGCGAAAGCGUGGGGAGCAAACAGGAUUAGAUACCCUGGUAGUCCACGCCCUAAACGAUGAAUGUUAGUCGUCGGGUAGCUAGUCUAUUCGGUGAUGCAGCUAACGCAUUAAACAUUCCGCCUGGGGAGUACGGUCGCAAGAUUAAAACUCAAAGGAAUAGACGGGGACCCGCACAAGUGGUGGAGCAUGUGGUUUAAUUCGAAAAUACGCGAAGAACCUUACCUAGCCUUGACAUAUAUUAGAACACCCUAGAGAUAGAGUGGUGCCUUCGGGAGCUUUUAUACAGGUGCUGCACGGCUGUCGUCAGCUCGUGUCGUGAGAUGUUGGGUCAAGUCCCGCAACGAGCGCAACCCUCGUCACUAGUUACUAACGGUUCGGCCGAGGACUCUAGUGAGACUGCCUUCGUAAGGAGGAGGAAGGUGAGGACGACGUCAAGUCAUCAUGGCCCUUACGGCUAGGGCAACACACGUGCUACAAUGGCCAGGACAAUGAGAAGCGAUACCGCGAGGUGGAGCAAAUCUAUAAACCUGGUCUCAGUUCGGAUUGUAGUCUGCAACUCGACUACAUGAAGCUGGAAUCACUAGUAAUCGUAGAUCAGCUAUGCUACGGUGAAUACGUUCCCGGGUCUUGUACUCACCGCCCGUCACACCAUGGGAGUUGAUUUCACCCGAAGCGGGGAAGCUAAACUGGCUACCCUCCACGGUGGAAUCAGCGACUGGGGUGAAGUCGUAACAAGGUAACCGUAGGAGAACCUGCGGUUG